rnacentral:rRNA from 1 species
GAUGAACGCUGGCGGCGUGCCUAAUACAUGCAAGUCGAGCGAACGGACGAGAAGCUUGCUUCUCUGAUGUUAGCGGCGGACGGGUGAGUAACACGUGGAUAACCUACCUAUAAGACUGGGAUAACUUCGGGAAACCGGAGCUAAUACCGGAUAAUAUUUUGAACCGCAUGGUUCAAAAGUGAAAGACGGUCUUGCUGUCACUUAUAGAUGGAUCCGCGCUGCAUUAGCUAGUUGGUAAGGUAACGGCUUACCAAGGCAACGAUGCAUAGCCGACCUGAGAGGGUGAUCGGCCACACUGGAACUGAGACACGGUCCAGACUCCUACGGGAGGCAGCAGUAGGGAAUCUUCCGCAAUGGGCGAAAGCCUGACGGAGCAACGCCGCGUGAGUGAUGAAGGUCUUCGGAUCGUAAAACUCUGUUAUUAGGGAAGAACAUAUGUGUAGGUAACUGUGCACAUCUUGACGGUACCUAAUCAGAAAGCCACGGCUAACUACGU